CCUACGGGAGGCAGCAGUGGGGAAUAUUGCGCAAUGGGCGAAAGCCUGACGCAGCGACGCCGCGUGAGGGAUGAAGGUCUUCGGAUCGUAAACCUCUGUCAGCAGGGAAGAACGGUCACUGUGCUAAUCAGCAGUGAAUUGACGGUACCUGAAGAAGAAGCCCCGGCUAACUACGUGCCAGCAGCCGCGGUAAUACGUAGGGGGCAAGCGUUAUCCGGAGUUACUGGGUGUAAAGGGGGCGCAGACGGCGAUGCAGGCCAGGAGUGAAAGCCCGGGGCCCAACCCCGGGACUGCUCUUGGAACUGCGUGGCUGGAGUGCAGGAGGGGCAGGCGGAAUUCCUGGUGUAGCGGUGAAAUGCGUAGAGAUCAGGAGGAACACCGGUGGCGAAGGCGGCCUGCUGGACUGCAACUGACGUUGAGGCCCGAAAGCGUGGGGAGCAAACAGGAUUAGAUACCCCUGUAGUC
rnacentral:rRNA from 1 species